rnacentral:lncRNA from 1 species
GUAUUUUUAAUUUUAAUCAAAAUAAACCUCAUAAAUUCAUCACAAUACAUUAAAUAGAUAAAAUCUGCUUCAUGUCAUACAUGUCAAUGAGUUUAAUACAUACUGAUUUCUGACCAACACAUGUUAAUAUCCCUUAGAGUAAUGACUUGUUGGUAAAAGAUGUUGCAGAAUUAUACAUUACAAUAUCACAGAUAAAUAGUAGUCAUUGAACUGUACAACGAAGUUAACUUAUACAAUUUGUUCGAAUAACUUUUGUUCAUCCAAUGCUCUCGACUUGGAUGGUUUGUAUAGUCAAUGAUUUCAUUGAUUUAACAUCCAGAACCUUGAUUUUCACCAUACAACAAACACGAAAACAAACAAGCAUUAAUCAAUAUAAUAAUAUAUUAUAUAAAUUUAACACAAAAAAUUUCAUAACAAGUUUUAUCUUUAAAAAAUGAUAUCUGACACAUUCAGAUGUG